ACGGGGUGCAGCAGGCGCGAAACCUCCACAAUUCACGCAAGUGAGAUGGGGUUACCUCGAGUGCUAUCUGAAGAAGGUGGCUUUUCCAUGGUGUAAUGAGCCGUGGGAAUAAGGGGGGGGCAAGACUGGUGUCAGCCGCCGCGGUAACACCAGCCCCCCGAGUGGUGGGGAUGAUUAUUUGGCCUAAAGCGUCCGUAGCCAGCUCGGUAAAUCUCUCGUUAAAUCCAGCGUCCUAAGCGUUGGGCUGCGAGGGAAACUGCCGAACUAGAGGGUGGGAGAGGUCAGCGGUAUUCCUGGGGUAGGGGCGAAAUCCAUUGAUCCCAGGAGGACCACCAGUGGCGAAGGCUGCUGACUAGAACACGCCUGACGGUGAGGGACGAAAGCUGGGGUAGCGAAUCGGAUUAGAUACCCGGGUAGUCCCAGCCGUAAACGGUGUUCGCUAGGUGUCAGGGGCGGUGCGACCGCUUCUGGUGCCGUAGGGAAGCCGUGAAGCGAACCACCUGGAAGUACGCCGCAAGGC
rnacentral:rRNA from 1 species